rnacentral:rRNA from 1 species
UACGGAGGGUGCAAGCGUUAUCCGGAUUUACUGGGUUUAAAGGGUGUGUAGGCGGACUUUUAAGUCAGCGGUGAAAUCUCCGGGCUCAACCCGGAACUGCCAUUGAUACUAUUAGUCUUGAAUCUUGUUGAGGUAGGCGGAACGGGUCAUGUAGCGGUGAAAUGCAUAGAUAUGACCCGGAACACCAUUGCGAAGGCAGCCUACUAA